GGCGCCGUAGGCAAGUGGCUAAGCCAGCGGAUUGCAAAUCCGCCACCAUCGGUUCGAAUCCGAUCGGCGCCU
rnacentral:tRNA from 3 species